AUAAAGUUAGUUAAAUAAUAAUCUUAGGUUGUCAGCCUGAAGUUACUAGUUUUAUUUUAGUACUUUUUA
rnacentral:tRNA from 1 species